rnacentral:lncRNA from 1 species
GACAAGUGAUUUGCCCAAAUCACCCGCCCCAAUCACCUUGACAGCAGAAAUUGACAGCAGAGCGGGAAAUUGUGUAGAAAACAGAAAUUCGAAUUUUUAGAAGUUCAAAUCCAACUCAAUCACUAUCAACACAGUUCCAAGAACCACGAAAGAGCUUCUCACCUAAGGAAUUCCAAUUGCAAUUAAAUUCAACAUCAAAAGAGGAAUCAAACACCAAAUCAAAAAGGGAUUUCAAAACCCUGAUGGAUGGAUUCUUCAGCUAUAAAAGAGCAACCUCCAAACCAGCAAGGGGCAUCUUCUGAUCAGCUACUCAGCAUCUUCUCCCCUCGCCAGAAACCCUGCAGCUUCUUUAUUUUUCCUUUCUUUUCAUCUUUUGUUUAUUUAGUCCACCAUGAGUGGCUAAUUUCCUUUCUUUUAUAGUUUAACUUGAGAAAAUUCAGUUUUGUGAUGAAUUGGGAGAUUUAAAACUCCAUUGUUAAACUCUUAUUUGCUUUCAAUAUUUAUGCAAUUUGAUCUGUCCAUAAUUAUUACUUAGCUUUUAGAAUUAAUAAGGGCCUAUUGCUUUUAAAUUGCUUAAGUAAUAUCGUUUGAAUGAUUUAGGUCCGUAAUUGCUUAGGUUGUUCAAAUACACAUUUAAUCAAGUUGCAUAAUCUAAACUUGACCACGCGGUUGGCAAGGAUAGAAUUGGGUUUCUCUAAGUCUUAAUGCAGUCAACAGUUGUUCGAUGCUACAAUGCCUCAAGGACGUUCCUUGGCAACUUGUUGAUUAGUGUUUGAUUAGCGAACGUUUCCUAAUCAAACUAGAACUAAGGAGGAAUUUGGUUGUGAGAAGCGUCUUCCAUAACCAAAACCAAUUUAUUGAAAUAAAAUAGGAGUCCUAAAUAAUCAAUGAUCAAUUCUGAACAAACUGAAAUAGACUCAUACUUCAACUAGAAUCCUUUUCCCAUUGAAAUUCUCAUCUAUUUAAAUUAUCGCUUUCUUUUGCUGUUUAUUAUCAAAUCAAACCCCCCUCUUUUAAUUAUUUGUUAUUUACUUGUCUUGGUCAUUAUUAGGAAGGUGUUUAGUGUCAAUUCCCUGUGGUUCGACCCUAUUGCCACUAUCUGCAAAUUUAUUUGUUGAUUGAUUAAUAGGUUUAUUUUUGACGGCUUCGACAACCGCUUAUCAAAAAUUGGCGCCGUUGCCGGGGAAUUGAUUUAAACUAACGUAUUUUCCCUUUAUGACCAGGUCUGGCCGUAAAGACACUCUUCUUUACGAUCCGGAGAUUGAACGCACUGCCAACAGCUUAAGGAAGCAAGCAAAUUUGAGGAACCAAGCCUCAAAACCAUCUUCGUCAACAACUCCAUCUUACAGACCAACUACUGCCCCUGCUGCAGAAAUUUCUGCACCAGCAGAAGCUUCCAUCACCGCAUCUGCCACUACUGAAAUUAAACCAAAAACCCGAUUCCAGGUUACUGCAGAAAAUCCAGCAAUGGCAGAAAUCCCUGCUGCACAUGAAGAAGCUGAAAUUCAAGCUGGAAACGUGCCCGUCCAAGCACCACAACCACGAGAGAGGACUCUCGGAGAGUUAGCUGAACCAGCAGGAGACCUAGCACCCUUAUCCAUUGACAGCACCCUUUGAAUUAAAAACAGGGCUGAUUCAUCUCCUUCCCAAAUUUAGAGGCCUUGAAAAUGAAGACCCUCACAAGCAUUUGAAGGAGUUCCACAUUGUGUGCUCAGCCAUGAGAACCCAAGGUAUUUUUGAAGAGCAUGUUAAACUUAGAGCCUUCCCUUUUUCCCUUGAUGACUAUGCCAAGGAAUGGCUAUUCUACUUGCCACCCGGAUCCAUCACAUCAUGGGCUGGUAUGGUGAGAGCAUUCUUGAGAAAAUUCUUCCCAACAUCGAAAGCCAUAGGCAUCCGUCGAGAAAUAAGUGGCAUAAGGCAAAAGCACUCUGAAGGCUUGUAUGAAUACUGGGAGAGGUUCAAAAAGUUGUGCACAAGCUGCCCUUAGCAUGAUAUUUCUGAUCAAUCUCUCAUUGAGUACUUCUAUGGAGGUCUGCUACCCUCAGAAAGGAAAUUUAUUGAUGCAGCAUGUGGAGGAUCAAUUGAAAAAAAAGUCACCUCGAGAGAUGAGGGAUUUAAUUUCCACCAUGGCUGCAGCUUCUCAGCAAUUUGGAGACCAAGAUCAGCCACCAAGAAGGGUAAAUGAGGUAAGUACAUCUGUUUUAGCAUCCCAAAUUUCUGAUCUCACCAAUGCUGUCCGUAGCCUUGUUGUGGGUCAAACCCAACAAGUCCAGCAAAUUCAACAGCCCAAGCCAUGUGGAAUAUGUGCCAACAACCACCCAACUGAUCUAUGUCCUUCCCUUCAAAAGGAGGACCAGCAAGUCAAUGCUGUUGGAGGCUUCAAUGGGCAAAGAAGGUAUGAUCCCUAUGCAAAUACUUAUAAUCCAGGUUGGAGGGACCAUCCAAAUUUCAGUUAUGUAAGGGGACAGUAAUAUCCAAGCUACCAACAAAGGAACCAAGCUCAAGCUGCACCUCAGAACUCCAAUGCACCUCUUGAAGAGAUUGUGAAGUCCUUAGCAAAUACGGUGCAAAAUCUUGAGAAACAAAUGAGUCAAAUGGCCAUUUCAGUAAGCAAAAUUAAAUCACAAGGAAAGCUACCUUUCCAAACUGAAGUAAAUCCAAGACAAAAUGCUAGUGCCAUCACAUUGAGGAGUGGAAAAGAGCUACAAGACAGCAAGGCUGAAAAAUUGCAAAAACAGGCCAUGGAAGAAAUUCUGCCAGAAAGUGAUCAGGGCAGUCGAUUUGCCCAAAUCACUGACCCAAUCACUAGGCAAACUGAUCUGCCCAGCAGUGAUCUGCCCAAAUCACCAGAGAAGGCAGAGUCCAGUCAAGGGCAGAAACAACAACCAGCAGAAAAAUUCAAGGUACCUCCUCCCUUUCCCAAAAGAUUUGCAAGAUCUCAGAAAGAAAAAGAGGAAAGAGAGAUACUUGAGACCCUUCGCAAGGUAGAAAUCAACAUACCUCUACUUGAUGCUAUUAAGCAAAUUCCAAGGUAUGCCAAAUUUCUCAAAGAGCUAUGCACAAAUAGGAGGAAACUUGCUGAACGUGAAAAGGUAAGUGUGGGGGAGUGUGUUUCAGCUGUCAUCCAAAGGAAACUUCCAACCAAAUGCAAGGAUAGAGGAAUGUUCGCGGUUUCAUGCAAAAUAGGCAAUGUGGGAAUAAAGAAGGCCAUGUGUGACCUUGGAGCUUCAAUAAAUGUCAUGCCUCUUUCCAUUUUUAACUUGUUGAAUGCAGGUACACUCAAGGGUACCAGCAUUGUGAUCCAAUUGGCUGACCGAUCUGUUGUCUACCCCAAGGGAGUGCUAGAAGAUGUGUUGGUGCAAGUUGACCAACUAGUUUUCCAGUAGAAUUUUUAUGUAAUUGACAUGGAGGAAGACAAGAGCAACACAACCUCUGAUAUUUUACUUGGGAGACCAUUUUUGAGCACAGCAAGAACCAAAAUUGAUGUGCAUGAUGGCACAUUAACCAUGGAGUUUGAAGGGGAAGUUAUCAAAUUUAAUAUUUAUGAUGCCAUGAAAUUCCCCAAUGAUGUUUCUCCUGUUUAUGGCCUUGAUGUUAUUGAUGAUUUAAGUCAAGAAAUUUUUGAUUUUGAUCAAGAAAACUUACUUUAUGAAGGUCUUUGCAGGAGGGAAGAAGUGGACAGCAACACCGAUACAGACCAGAUGGAGUACUGUUCACAGCUGGUGGCGGGUGAUUUGCCCAAAUCACCAAACGAUCUGCCCAAAUCACUGGGACAGACAGACACAACAGAGAGUGAUUUGCCCAGAUCACCAGAUAAUCUGCCCAAAUCACAGCCCAAAUCAAAUAGCAAACAGCAGAAAUCAGAAUAGGCAGCAGAUACACCAGAUCUGAAACCCUUGCCCAGCCAUCUCAAAUAUGCCUUCUUAGGGGCUGAAAAUACACUUCCAAUUAUUAUUUCCAAGCAGCUCAGUCCACAAGAAGAAAAACUCCUAGAGGUGUUGAGAAAACACAAGAAGGCAAUUGGGUGGACCUUGGAGGACAUCAAAGGCAUAUCACCCUCAACAUGCAUGCAUCGGAUACUUAUAGAGGAUGAGUGCAAACCUGUUCAUGAGGCUCAAAGAAGGCUGAAUCCACCAAUGAUGGAGGUUAUGAAGAAAGAAAUAGUAAAACUUUUAGAUAUUGGGGUAAUCUACCCCAUUUCUGACAGUAAAUGGGUGAGUCCCAUCCAUGUGGUACCAAAGAAGACAGGUAUUACUAUUGUCCCCAAUUCUGAAGGAGAGUUAGUACCCACUCGUGUGCAAAAUGGGUGGAGAGUUUGCAUGGAUUAUAGGAUGCUCAACACAGCCACAAGGAAGGACCACUUUCCCUUGCCAUUUAUGGAUCAAAUGCUUGAAAGACUUGCUGGAAAAAGUCAUUACUGCCUCCUUGAUGGAUAUUCGGGAUUUUAUCAAAUCCCCGUUGCACCUGAAGUUCAAGAGAAGACCACUUUCACAUGUCCAUUUGGCACCUUCGCAUUUAGGAGGAUGCCCUUCGGUCUUUGCAAUGCACCAGCCACUUUCCAAAGGUUUAUGAUGAGUAUUUUUUUCUGAUUAUGUGGAGAAAAUUAUUGAAGUCUUCAUGGAUGACUUUACGGUGUAUGGCAACUCAUUCAAUGAAUGCCUUUCCAACUUGGAGAAGAUACUUCAAAGGUGUUUGGAGACAAAUCUAGUUCUCAACUACGAAAAAUGCCACUUCAUGGUCAGCCAUGGCUUAAUCUUAGGCCAUAUUGUUUCAGCAAAAGGGAUUAAGGUGGACAAAGCUAAAAUUGACACCAUCAAAAAUCUGCCCUACCCAACCAGCAUUAGGGAGAUUCGAUCAUUCCUUGGACAUGCUAGUUUUUACAGGAGGUUCAUCAAGGAUUUCUCCAAGAUAACUCAGCCUUUGUGCAGGUUAUUACAGCAGGAUGUCCCAUUCAAAUUUGAUGACAGCUGCAAAACAGCUUUUGAUUUGAUCAAAUCACUGCUGAUUUCUGCCCCAGUCAUCCAGCCACCUGACUGGACCCUUCCAUUUGAAAUCAUGUGCGAUGCCAGCAACUUUGCUGUAGGUGCAGUGUUGGGACAGCGUAUAGGUAACUCUCCUCAUGUCAUUCACUAUGCCUCACGCACUCUAGAUGCUGCACAAUGCAAUUAUUCAACCACAGAAAAAGAGUUGCUAGCUAUUGUGUUUGCAUUGGAGAAAUUUCGGUCCUAUCUACUUGGGACCAAGGUGAUUAUUUACUCAGACCAUGCUGCAUUGAGGUAUUUAAUAAAGAAAAAGGAGUCCAAACCAAGGAUAGUACGUUGGAUAUUGUUGCUACAAGAGUUUGACUUGGAGAUUCGUGACAAGAAGGGAAAAGAGAACCUUGUAGCUGAUCACCUCAGCAGAAUUCUGACCGAGAUGGAGACCUGCCCCAUCAAUGAAAAAUUUCCUGAUGAACACCUCUUUGCUGUCCAAGAAGAGGAACCAUGGUAUGCUGAUAUUGUUAAUUUCCUCGCCACAGGUGAUUUGCCCACUGAUUUGCCCAAACACAUGAGAGACAAGAUCAAGAAAGAUGCAAGGUAUUAUGUGUGGGAUGAACCUUACCUAUGGAAGCAUUGUGCAGACCAAGUGAUCCGAAGAUGCAUACCUAACCAUGAGAUUUCUUCUGUCCUAACUUUCUGCCACUCUUACAGCUGUGGAGGACACUUUGGGCCACGCAAGACAGCCUUGAAAAUACUUGAAUGUGGGUUAUUUUAGCCUAACAAUUUCAGAGAUUCUUAUUUAUUUUGUAGGUCAUGUGCAAGAUGCCAACAAAUGGGGAACCUUGGCCACCGAAGUGAAAUGCCACAAGCACCCAUCAUGGUGUGUGAAAUCUUUGACAUAUGGGGCAUUGACUUCAUGGGGCCAUUCCCACCUUCCUUUGGCAACACCUACAUACUUCUAGCUGUGGAUUAUGUGUCCAAGUGGAUUGAGGCCAAGGCAACAAGGGCUGAUGAUGCAAAAACAGUUUGCGACUUUGUAAAAGCCCACAUUUUCUCAAGAUUUGGUUUGCCCAAAGCCAUAAUCAGUGAUCGAGGCACCCAUUUUUGCAACAAGGUAGUAGAAACUCUCCUCAAGAAGCACCAUGUCAUCCAUAGAACCUCUACUACCUAUCAUCCUCAAACAAAUGGGCUGGCCGAAGUGUCAAAUAGGGAGAUCAAGUCCAUCUUGGAGAAAACGGUUUGCCCAAGUCGCAAGGACUGGAGUGUGCGCCUAAAUGAUGCCUUAUGGGCAUAUAGAACAGCAUAUAAAACCCCAAUUGGGAUGUCUCCGUAUAGGCUGAUUUAUGGGAAAGCUUGCCAUCUACCUGUGGAACUUGAACACAAAGCCUAUUGGGCUGUGAAGAGCUGCAAUCUUAACGAGAAAGAAGCUGGAGCCAAUAGAAAAUUGCAACUUCAAGAGCUUGAAGAGAUUCGGCGUGAUGCAUAUGAAGCUUCUUGGGAUACAAAGCAAAGACCAAAGCCUUCCAUGACAAAAAUAUCUCCAGAAAAUACUUCCAGGUUGGUGAUAAGGUCUUACUUUUUGAUUCUAGAUUUAAAUUAUUCCCUGGAAAGCUUUGGUCUAGGUGGAUUGGGCCAUUUUUGGUUGAGCAUGUCUAUCCACAUGGGGCUGUUGACAUACGGAGUCCACAAACAAGCAAGGUUUUUAAAGUUAAUGGACAUCGUUUGAAGAAAUUUUAUGAAGGAUUUACUGUUCAUCUCAUGGAGAAGGUUCUCUUGGAUCCCCCUGCCCUAAACAACUGAUCAAGACACUACUGUCCAGCCCAAGACAGAAAACAGGGCGCUACUGGGAGGCAGCCCAGAGGUGGCGAUUUGCCCAAAUCACCGAGGUGAUUUGCCCAAAUCACUGGGACAGAUCAUCUGAUUGUAGCAUAGUAACAAGUGAUUGGGGCAGUAAUUUGCCCAAAUCGACAUGCCAAAUCGACAGGGUUCAUCUUAGACAGAACAAGACCAACCAGGCAGUUGCAUCAAAGAAGUGAUUUGCCCAGGUGAUUUGACCAGAUCACCAAGCCAAAUCACCAAAUCAGCACAUCAUCAGAAAAGGGCGUGAAUAGUACCAGCCAAGCAACUGCAAUGAAGAAGUGAUCCGGCCAAGUGAUUUGCCCAAAUCACUGGCCAAAUUAUCCUGUCAAGAAUCUAGAGAGCAAACAUUAAAUGAUCAGGGCAGUUCACCUACCCAAAUCACUUUAAGUAAUUUUUCUCUUAUUUUUUUUACUUUUUAUGCAAUCUACUGCUUUCAUCUUUUCUUCUUUAAGAUUUUCUUCUCCAACCACCACUCACCCACCGGCGAACUCAAGACCACCAUGGUCUGAAUCAAGAUGAUGGCCAAAGGCGGACCCGGCAUGUGGCGGCGACUAGGGCUGCCGAGACCCAUCCCCUCCGACAGUGAUGACGACGCAUGGGACACCCCUCCACCAGUCCCCACCAGCACUGAAAUGCCACCAGCUACUGGAGCAGCGACUGGACGCUCCGACUCACCGGACGUCUAGACUUAUCGCCGGCGCAAAAGGGCGACGAUAACCAAGCCACCACCUUCCUCUUCCACGGUCGCAAUGGAAACCCAAGGGGGCGAAACGCCUCAAGAAGACACCCCUUCUGCUACCCUCGGCCAGAAACGGCCAAGAACGCAGUCAUCACCUCCACCGCCGAGCUCAGAGCCAGAACCAGAAACCCCCAUUGCCACACAUCCCGCAGGUCACGAGGAAGGUGAUAUGCCCAGCGAUUUGCCCACUGACAUGCCCAGCGAUUUGCUCGAUGACUUGCCAAGUGAUGCGCCCAGCGAUAUGCCGAGUGAUUUGCCCAGCGAUCUGCCCAGACCAUCAUGCCCUGAUCACAUCACUCAGGCCCUGACAUUCAACAAAGUUUCUGAGCAGACCAGGCUGGCCAAAAUAUCAUCUCUUCCAUAUCAUCCAGGUAAGUACAUACAUCAUGGCACCCUCCGCGCACUGAGACUCCAGAACCAGACCUUCGCACAUUAGAUGACAUGGGGUUGCUUUGCAAAGUGGGGGAUAUUUUUUCCAUUGUACCUGCAGGUCCCGUAACACCACGCCAUGAGCGUAUUUUCAGAAGGAAGAAAGCCAACAAACUCACCACAGCCCAGUAGACAGCCUCCACAGAUGCCCCAGCAGAUGGGACAACAGGGGAAACAUGGCAGGAACCAGCCGAGACAGCACCUUCAGUAGCCCCCCAGCAGGAUGCCCGUCAGCCACCUGAAGACGAAGCUCCCAACCAGACAGUAGAGGCUCGUCUCAGUAGAAUUGAGGACCGAAUGCACAGGAUGGAGCACUUGUUGGACCUGCUGGUAGACCAUUUUCUGCCUCAGCACCGUGACAGACAAUGAUUUGACCAGUGAUUUGCCCAAAUCACUAGCCAAAUCACCCACAGGCCAGGAAGUCCCUUUUCCUUUCCUUCUUAAUUCUUUUAUAUAUAUGCUUACACAUUGAGGACAAUGUUUGCAAUAGGUGUGGGGGUGUUUGGAGAACAUUUUGCACAGUCUUCACCAUGUUUAGUUUUCUUUUACAUUCUUUUUGUUUCUUUUUGCAUUAGUUUUACCUCUUUCACACACCAGAAAAUUUUUUCUUCCACACAUAUGCACACACAUAUAGAAUUUUAUUUUUAAGCCUAUUGCUCUACUCAGCAUAGAUGACUAAGACAAAAGAGCUUCUUACCUCAUGACCCCAUUAAAUUAUCCAACCCUUUAAACCUAAAUUGAACCAUGCACAGUGUGUAGCCUUUACUUAGGAAGUUUUUUUUCUUGAAUUGAGUUCUUAAAACUGCUGUGGCCAAUAGGAAAGGAAAAUAAAAUCCAUACAAUAAAAAGUUAGUGUAAUUCUCUUUGAGUUGAUUUGCCCAAAUUGUUAUAAAAAGGAAAAAGAAAAAGAAAAACUCAGCAAAUCAAAAAGCACAAAACACAACCUGUUCCUAUGAUCUAAGGCUAUGAACUGAGCUAAUAGUCAUUUGGACAAGUGACCAACUGAGUAACCGGAGGUGUAUUACCCAUGUGCACCGUCGCGUAAAAAGGUUGGAGACUUUUUCAAGCAUAAAAAUAAAGUUUCGAUGGUCUAAGAUUAUGAACAGAGCUAGUAGCCACUUGGACAAGUGACCAACUGAGUAACCGGGGGUGUAUCACCCAUAUGCACCAUCGCGUAAAAAGGUUGGUGAUUUUUUUAGGCAAGGAUAAAAAGUGCUGGUAAUUAAAAAUGCUUAAAAUAGGGCAAGUCACUCUUAAGGGAUUGCAUUAAACCUAAUAUAAAAGAAUAAGCAUGAUCAAAUAAAAAACUUUCACUUGGCUAUGGUGAGUGAUAGGAAACAAGGAAAGAAGGGGACAACCUUAGUACAUGCAUCCUACACUGUAGUGUUUCAAAUUAGGAGUCUAGGGGGGGCUGAAUAAGUGGUAUUUAGGCUCAAAAGAAAAGGGGGGCUUAAUUGGCUAAGUUAUUUGUUGCUUGAGGACAAGCAAAAGGCUAGGUGUGGGGGUAUUUGAUCAAGCACAAAUUAGCCACAUUUUUAUUAUCUUUAUUAUUGCUUAUUUACACAUUUUUCAGCUUAAUCUAUGGUUUUUAUCUUGUUUUUGCAGAAAAGGGAGAAAUUGUAAAAUUGGAGAAAAAGUGCAGAAAAUGACAGAAAAGUGAUUGGGUCAGUGAUUUGGGCAAAUCACUCGUAGAAACUGGCCAAAUCACUCGCAGAGACAAAGAGCUAAAAACUAGACUGACUCACAGAAAGCGAUUGGGGCGAUUGGGACAAGUAAUUUGCCCAAAUCACCCGCCCCAAUCACCUUGACAGCAGAAAUUGACAGCAGAGUGGGAAAUUGUGCAGAAAACAGAAAUCCAAAUUUUUAGAAGUCCAAAUCCAACUCAAUCACUAUCAACACAGUUCCAAGAGCCACGAAAGAGCUUCUCACCUAAGGAAUUCCAAUUGCAAUUAAAUUCAACAUCAAAAGAGGAAUCAAACACCAAAUCAAAAAGGGAUUUCAAAACCCUAGAUAGAUGGAAUUCUUCAGCUAUAAAAGAGCAACCUCCAAACCAGCAAGGGGCAUCUUCUGAUCAGCUACUCAGCAUCUUCUCCCCUCGCCAGAAACCCUGCAGCUUCUUUCUUUUUCCUUUCUUUUCAUCUUUUGUUUAUUUAGUC